UACGGAGGGUGCAAACGUUGCUCGGAAUUAUUGGGCGUAAAGCGCACGUAGGCGGUCCGCUAAGUCGGGUGUGAAAUCCCUCGGCUUAACCGAGGAAGUGCAUUCGAAACUGGCGGGCUUGAGUACUGAAGGGGGUCGCGGAAUUCCCGGUGUAGAGGUGAAAUUCGUAGAUAUCGGGAGGAACACCAGUGGCGAAGGCGGCGACCUGGGCAGAUACUGACGCUGAGGUGCGAAAGCGUGGGGAGCAAACAGG
rnacentral:rRNA from 1 species